rnacentral:lncRNA from 1 species
CUGGUCGGCACCGUGUCCUGCACCAAAUGUCCCGCGAUGGGCUGGGUAGCGGCUGCAACUCUUCUUAUGAAUGCUCACCGACACUGCGGCUCGGUUCUCCAUUUCUAUGCGACUCCGGAGGAAAACAAAAGGCAGCCAACUCCCAGACUCAGCAACGCCGCCGCCAGAGACCGGUCUGAAGUUAAAAUGGAGCAGGAGGAAGACCACGGCCCGGAAUGCAGAAUUAAUCGCAUGCCUUCGUUUCCCUGGGGGGUGGCUGGGUCGUGUUGCAGGGGUGUUGCCGCAGCUCCGCCGCGGUGCGGGGCGCAUUAGCAGUCGUGUAAAGCUGUCGCUGUGACUGAUGGCGGGAGCGUCUCAGGUGUUACCUCAGACUUUGCGGAGUAGCACCGCAAUGAUGGGACACACACAGUCAGCUAAUAGCUUGCGACUUCCGCAACAGCAGCUGGCACCUCGGGGGAAAUGUAAAUCCCACAGAGACCCCCCGCCCACGGCUCCGGAGGCACUCACCUACACCCAUACACAAGCACACAACCUGUACAGUGAGAUGUGUGAUGAAGGCACAUUACGAUUUCAGCGAUGGUUCAGCAUGGUGUAAGAUGGGAAAUUCCAGGUCUCCAGCACUUUACCCUUUGUCUUUAAAGAAGACCCCCCCGCUUGUGUGAGGUGGUGGCCUAGCAGUUAAGGAGCGCCCCCCCCUGAUCAGACAGUCGCCGGUUCGAAUCCCGAUCACCCCGAAGGUGCCACUGGUGCCACACACUGCUCCCCGGGCGCCUGUCAUGGCUGCCCACUGCUCACCAAGGGUGAUGGUUGAAAGCAGAGGAGACAUUUCAUUGUGUCACCGUGUGCUGUGCUGCAUUGUACAACAAUCACUUUCACGUUAUCAAUAUGCAGCCUUCCCCAAGCAAGCAAGAGGUGUCACCAGGGUGCCAAAGGGCCAGCAAAUGACCUGAGGUGCCAUGAUGGGAAAGUCUUGUUGGGGGAGUGACCACUGUGUACCUGUUUCAGGAGUUCUGUUUGGACAAGGCUGAAAAAUCUAAGGACAAUUUGAUUGGUCUGUGGCAACGUUUUUGUGAGCCAAAAUCCUA